GCGCUCUUAGUUCAGUUCGGUAGAACGCGGGUCUCCAAAACCCGAUGUCCUAUGUUCAAAUCCUACAAAGCAUG
rnacentral:tRNA from 1 species